rnacentral:misc_RNA from 1 species
GAAAUGCGAUAACUAGUGUGAAUUGCAGAAUUCCGUGAAUCAUCGAGUCUUUGAACGCACAUUGCGCCCCCUGGUAUUCCGGGGGGCAUGCCUGUCCGAGCGUCAUUGCUGCCCAUCAAGCACGGCUUGUGUGUUGGGUCGUCGUCCCCUCUCCGGGGGGGACGGGCCCCAAAGGCAGCGACGGCACCGCGUCCGAUCCUCGAGCGUAUGGGGCUUUGUCACCCGCUCUGUAGGCCCGGCCGGCGCUUGCCGAACGCAAAUCAAUCUUUUUCCAGGUUGACCUCGGAUCAGGUAGGGAUACCCGCUGAACUUAAGC